AAAAUACAAAUGAAUUUGUAAGGGCAAUUUGAAGGAUGCUGCCAAGAAGUUUGUGGUUGAUUGGUUAUGUAGUGAUAAAACUGAGUCAAUAGUUAGCCUUUAGAGGUUGUUUCUGUGAACUUCAUACUGAACCCUUUUUCUUCUACUUUUUAUUGUUCAGCACUUUCGCCGUAUAUUUAUUUAGUUAUGUUCAGGAAUUCACGCCAAUUCUAAAUAGCAAAUUAGUUGAAAAAUGGGAAGUAUUCGACUUCGAGCCUCAAGGAAGUUUCUUCUGCCACUACGUGGAAGCAACUGCAAUUGAAGAAGUCAUUGACUUCAUUUUUUCAAACGUAGAAUCGUAGUGAAGUUAGGAAGGUUGUUGUCUCAGGCAACCUAAACUACGGAAGCCAUCAUUUUGCGCAAACUGGAAUCUGAGCCCUGAAGUUUUGCAGGUGUGCAAACUGUAUAGAACAAAAUAUCCUAAACCAAGGAGCUGCUGCAGCGGGCCAACUGAAGUCCCUUUUGGGAAGAGGAUUAACUUAUAGCUGCAGCCAUGAACUCAAUGUUAUUCGAAGCCGCUCUAGCAGGGAAUGUAAAUGUGCUACACCAGCUUUUUAGUGAAAAUCAAGAUGUUCUUGUAGAUGCAGUAAUGACAACAGAUUGUAAUCCUCUUCAUGCGGCGGCAAAACACGGUCACCUUGAGUUCGUAAAAGCGGUCUGAAGCCUUCUUUUGCUAGGAACUAGAUAAAGACGGCUUUAGCCCAAUACAUUUGGCCACAGAAAAUGGCACUAUUGAUAUUGUGAAAGAGCUUCUAGCGCAUGAC